rnacentral:rRNA from 1 species
GUGCUUGGGCGAGAGUAGUACUAGGAUGGGUGACCCCCUCAGAUGUCCUCGUGUUGCACCCCC